rnacentral:rRNA from 1 species
UACGAAGGGGGCUAGCGUUGCUCGGAAUCACUGGGCGUAAAGGGUGCGUAGGCGGGUCUUUAAGUCAGGGGUGAAAUCCUGGAGCUCAACUCCAGAACUGCCUUUGAUACUGAGGAUCUUGAGUUCGGGAGAGGUGAGUGGAACUGCGAGUGUAGAGGUGAAAUUCGUAGAUAUUCGCAAGAACACCAGUGGCGAAGGCGGUUGCCUGGAGCUUUGCUGACGCUGAUGCGCGAAAGCGUGGGGAGCAAACAGGG